UACGAAGGGGGCUAGCGUUGCUCGGAAUCACUGGGCGUAAAGCGCACGUAGGCGGAUUGUUAAGUCAGGGGUGAAAUCCCGGAGCUCAACUCCGGAACUGCCUUUGAUACUGGCGAUCUUGAGUCCGGGAGAGGUGAGUGGAACUGCGAGUGUAGAGGUGAAAUUCGUAGAUAUUCGCAAGAACACCAGUGGCGAAGGCGGCUCACUGGCCCGAUACUGACGCUGAGGUGCGAAAGCGUGGGGAGCAAACAGG
rnacentral:rRNA from 1 species